rnacentral:pre_miRNA from 1 species
UGGACAGAUUAUUGUAUUCGACUGUAUUCCCGGCGUGAAAUAGUGAUUACACUGUUUUUAAAACGGAAAGUGAAUCAAUUAACAUAAUAGACUCCU